UAAAAAGCCAGCUCAAAUCUGGAUUACAUCUUUCAUCAUAUGAGAACUUGUAUAUGAGUUUGACUAAUACAAGAGGGUCAACUGUGGAUCCUCCCACUAUUGUUCAGUGUAAAGUCCUUUUUGCAGUUGGGUUAAAUCCCUCCAGUUCAAGGUUGAAGCAGUUGGCUCAGACAAUUGAUUCUCAUUCUGAAAACCUUGGCCUCAAUAACACCGUAUUUGGAAGGGUUAAACAAGUUAGCCUGUCCUCUGAUUUACCACAUUCUCGAGGUGGUGAUGGGGGUAGUCCCACACCUUCUCCAGCUCCACUACCUCAUCAUCAACACCACUACCAUCAUCGUUCAAACUUCGCUCCUGCAAUAUCACCUGCUCCAAAGGUUGGGAAAGGUGGAUCUAUUAGCAGGCAAGUUUCACCUAUAUCCGCACCAAAGCCAGCAUCUGCAACAGUACUUCCACCUUCCCCUGCUCCUGCUCCCGCACUACACGAAGGACAUGAGGCCCAGCCUCCUUGUCAUUUUGGGAGAUUUCCAAGAAAGGCGAAUAGUCACUCGCAUAUAGCUCCUGCUCGAGCACCAGUCCCUGCACCUCAUAAUACUCCCUCGCGGCACCAGCAAGUACAUGCUCCAACUCCUACCCCACAUGAAAUCACUGCAUCAAGUCCAUUGCCCAAUGU
rnacentral:misc_RNA from 1 species